rnacentral:rRNA from 1 species
UACGUAGGCAGCGAGCGUUGUUCGGAAUUACUGGGCGUAAAGAGCGCGUAGGCGGUGCUCUAAGUUCGGUGUGAAAUCUUCCGGCUUAACUGGGAGGGUGCGCCGAAAACUGGAGUGCUCGAGCGUGGGAGAGGAAAGCGGAAUUCCUGGUGUAGCGGUGAAAUGCGUAGAUAUCAGGAGGAACACCAGCGGUGAAGACGGCUUUCUGGACCAUUGCUGACGCUGAGACACGAAAGCGUGGGUAGCAAACAGG